GCUGUGCCGGGUGGAGAUUAUAAACCUAGAGAGGAACCAGGCUAUGAGGGGUGGAGAUUAUAAACCUAGAGAGGAACCAGGCUAUGAGGGGUGGCCAGUCCUCUUCUGGCUGUGCCGGGUGGAGAUUAUAAACCUAGAGAGGAACCAGGCUAUGAGGGGUGGCCAGUCCUCUUCUGGCUGUGCCGGGUGGAGAUUAUAAACCUAGAGAGGAACCAGGCUAUGAGGGGUGGGCCAGUCCUCUUCUGGCUGUGCCGGGUGGAGAUUAUAAACCUAGAGAGGAACCAGGCUAUGAGGGGUGGCCUGUCCUCUUCUGGCUGUGCCGGGUGGAGAUUAUAAACCUAGAGAGGAACCAGGCUAUGAGGGGUGGCCAGUCCUCUUCUGGCUGUGCCGGGUGGAGAUUAUAAACCUAGAGAGGAACCAGGCUAUGAGGGGUGGGCCAGUCCUCUUCUGGCUGUGCCGGGUGGAGAUUAUAAACCUAGAGAGGAACCAGGCUAUGAGGGGUGG